rnacentral:rRNA from 1 species
UUUAAAUGGCCGCAGUACCUUGACUGUGCUAAGGUAGCAUAAUCAAUUGGCUUCUAAUUAAAGUCUGGAAUGAAAGGAAAAAUGAGGUAGUUCUGUCUUAAGGAAUUUUUUUUGAAUUUAUUUAAAUGAUGAAAAUAUCAUUUUUUAGAAAAAAGACGAGAAGACCCUUAGAGUUUUCAAUUUUUUUUUGUUGGGGCGACAAGUAAACAAUUAAACUUUACUAGUGUAAUAAAUCGAUUUUUUAUAAAAAUAAUUAAACUACCUUAGGGAUAACAGCAUUAUAUAUUUUGUAUGAUUGUGACCUC